AACGGCGGCCGUAACUAUAACGGUCCUAAGGUAGCGAAAUUCCUUGUCGGGUAAGUUCCGACCUGCACGAAUGGCGUAAUGAUGGCCAGGCUGUCUCCACCCGAGACUCAGUGAAAUUGAACUCGCUGUGAAGAUGCAGUGUACCCGCGGCAAGACGGAAAGACCCCGUGAACCUUUACUAUAGCUUGACACUGAACACUGGUCCUUGAUGUGUAGGAUAGGUGGGAGGCUUUGAAGCGUGGACGCCAGUCUGCGUGGAGCCGUCCUUGAAAUACCACCCUUUAAUGGCUGGUGUUCUAACGUAGACCCGUGAUCCGGGUUGCGGACAGUGUCUGGUGGGUAGUUUGACUGGGGCGGUCUCCUCCCAAAGAGUAACGGAGGAGCACGAAGGUUAGCUAAUCCUGGUCGGACAUCAGGAGGUUAGUGCAAUGGCAUAAGCUAGCUUGACUGCGAGAGUGACGGCUCGAGCAGGUGCGAAAGCAGGUCAUAGUGAUCCGGUGGUUCUGAAUGGAAGGGCCAUCGCUCAACGGAUAAAAGGUACUCCGGGGAUAACAGGCUGAUACCGCCCAAGAGUUCAUAUCGACGGCGGUGUUUGGCACCUCGAUGUCGGCUCAUCACAUCCUGGGGCUGAAGUAGGUCCCAAGGGUAUGGCUGUUCGCCAUUUAAAGUGGUACGCGAGCUGGGUUUAGAACGUCGUGAGACAGUUCGGUCCCUAUCUGCCGUGGGCGCUGGAGAAUUGAGGGGGGCUGCUCCUAGUACGAGAGGACCGGAGUGGACGCAUCACUGGUGUUCGGGUUGUCAUGCCAAUGGCACUGCCCGGUAGCUAAAUGCGGAAAAGAUAAGUGCUGAAAGCAUCUAAGCACGAAACUUGCCCCGAGAUGAGUUCUCCCUGACCCUUUAAGGGUCCUGAAGGAACGUUGAAGACGACGACGUUGAUAGGUCGGGUGUGUAAGCGCAGCGAUGCGUUGAGCUAACCGAUACUAAUGAACCGUGAGGCUUAACCUU
rnacentral:rRNA from 1 species